AGUGGAGUUGCUGGGUCAUAUGGUAACUCUUUUUAACCUUUGAGGAACUGCCAGAUUGUUUUCCAAAGUGGCUAUACCAUUUUACAUUCCCACCAGCAGU
rnacentral:pre_miRNA from 2 species